UGUUCUUAUUAGCUGGCGGGAAUUAAAACAAAAUACUAUCUAAACACUAACCAAAAUCAAAAGAAUUCUUUUACUUCUUCUAAAGUAGUUUUACUCAUCAAUAUCAUUGUAUUUUUUCGGUUCCUCACCAUUGGAAUUGUAGCCCCUGCAUUGUCUUAUAGGGUUGCCAUACUUCACAUCUUGCCUCCGACUCCGCCUACAAGAAUUAAAUGAGGAUAUGAAUUCAAAGAAAUCUCAUAACUUAUGAUGAGUUCAAGACCUUCUGGGAAGUUCAGAAUUACGCCACUUUCAAGUCACUUUCAUCAGAGGAGGAUGACGAAUAGCGAGAGCAGGACUUUCCAUCCCAGGCACAGUACGGGUCUCUGGCCAAGCAGCAGUCAGCACACGCCUCUCCGUACACAUCACACCUGUGCAGAGCCAGAUGAGUGACACCCACCGCUGAACUCACAUACAGCUGUUGCUACACACACACAGAAAGACAGGAAAAUUGUUAAUGAGUUACUCUCAUUCAAAAUACAUGAUGUAGUGAUUCCUAGAAUCCCAGAAUGACGGAUAUUCCUCAUUUGUAACUCACUUUGAAUAAAGGAUCUGCUACUUUUACUAUUAA